CCAGACUCCUACGGGAGGCAGCAGUGGGGAAUAUUGCACAAUGGGGGAAACCCUGAUGCAGCGACGCCGCGUGAGUGAAGAAGUAUUUCGGUAUGUAAAGCUCUAUCAGCAGGGAAGAAAAUGACGGUACCUGACUAAGAAGCCCCGGCUAACUACGUGCCAGCAGCCGCGGUAAUACGUAGGGGGCAAGCGUUAUCCGGAUUUACUGGGUGUAAAGGGAGCGUAGACGGUAGAGCAAGUCUGAAGUGAAAGCCCGCGGCUCAACUGCGGGACUGCUUUGGAAACUGUGCGGCUUGAGUGCGGGAGGGGCAGGCGGAAUUCCUAGUGUAGCGGUGAAAUGCGUAGAUAUUAGGAGGAACACCGGCGGCGAAGGCGGCCUGCUGGACCGUAACUGACGUUGAGGCUCGAAAGCGUGGGGAGCAAACAGGAUUAGAUACCCCGGUACA
rnacentral:rRNA from 1 species